rnacentral:tmRNA from 1 species
GGGCUUGACCGGUUUUGACAGCGGGCAGAAGAGGUAUGUAAGCAUGCAGUGCGUCGGUGAUUUGCACUUUAAUCUCAGUUAUCAAGAAUUUAUCUGGCAACAAUAAUUACGCUCUCGCAGCCUAGUUGAAGUAUAGUAGACUGGUUUAAUUUCGGCAUUAGAUGCCGGAACGGGAUGUCACUCAAAAGCUCUUGUUCCGAAGCGUUUGACACAGUGGCACAGCAAAAUCGGGAAUAGUUUUAGCCUUUUCUCGGGGCCUUAACGAAACUAAAGAGGAUAAGGUGUGGGUUGGUGGCUCUGGUCUUGCCCAUGCUCGAAAAUCGAAGGCAGAGAUAAGCAUGUAGAAAGCUUAUUGCUUCCUCGUUUGGACGAGGGUUCGAAUCCCUCCAGGUCCACCC